CAUUUAAUUAACAGUAAACAGCUGUGAGAUAGGAAAUACUACCGUGACGUCCACUCGGAGAGCACUGGGGGCCACAAGACGGGACUCACGUGGUCCACAUUGCAGAAUUGCCCACAGCACUAUAAAGUUUACUCGGACUCAGGCGCCCGCCCCGGCGGUGCAUGCGCAGAGAGACCCUGAGGCGCGCGAGGUCGCUGGGCGGCCAAGGCCCAGCAUGCCCUGCGCGUGGUGCAACAUGGCGGCGCCCACGCUGAGGCGCCUGUACCGUACGCCCCAGGCCGGGGUCUGGCAGCGUGGCCCGCGUGUGGUGCGUCCGGGCGCGCGGGGGAUGCUGGCGGCCCCGAGGGCUCGCGGCCUGUUCAAGGAGUUCUUCCCCGAGAGCGGCACGAAGACAGAGCUCCCCGAACUCUUCGACCGCCGCAGGGCGGGCGCGUCACCCCAGACGGUGUACUGCGGCUUCGACCCCACGGGCGACUCGCUGCACGUGGGCCACCUGCUGACCUUGCUGGGGCUCUUCCACUUCCAGCGAGCCGGCCACAACGCCAUCGCGCUCGUGGGGGGCUCCACGGCCCGCCUGGGGGACCCCAGCGGCCGGAGCAAGGGGCGGGAGGCGCUGAGCGCCGAGCGCGUGCAGGCCAACGCGCGCGCCCUGCGGCGGGGGCUCGAGGGCCUGGCCGCCAACCACGCGCGCCUCUUCGGCGACGGCCGGUCCUGGGGCUCCUUCACGGUGCUCGACAACGCCGCCUGGUUCCAGGAGCAGCACCUCGUGAACUUCCUGGCCACCGUGGGCGGCCACUUCCGCAUGGGCACGCUGCUGAGCCGCCAGAGCGUGCAGAGUCGCCUCAAGAGCCCCGAGGGCAUGAGCCUGGCCGAGUUCUUCUACCAGGUGCUGCAGGCCUACGACUUCUACCACCUCUUCCGGCGCUACGGCUGCCGCGUGCAGCUCGGCGGGGCGGAUCAGCUGGGCAACAUCGUGUCGGGCUACGAGUUCGUCCACAAGUUGACCGGAGAAGAUGUAUUCGGAAUCACUGUUCCACUGAUUACAAGUACAACUGGAGCAAAGCUGGGGAAGUCGGCUGGCAACGCCGUUUGGCUAGACCGAGAGAAGACAUCACCAUUUGAGCUUUAUCAGUUCUUUGUCAGACAGCAGGAUGAUUCUGUGGAGAGGUACCUGAAGCUCUUCACUUUCCUUCCCCUUCCGGAGAUUGAUCACAUUAUGCAGCUGCAUGUCAAAGAACCAGAAAAGCGGGGUGCUCAGAAACGACUGGCUGCAGAAGUAACAAAACUUGUUCAUGGACAAGAAGGUCUGGACUCUGCUAAAAGGUGUACACAAGCCCUUUACCAUAGCAGCAUAGAGGCACUGGAGGUCAUGUCUGACCAAGAAUUAAAAGAACUGUUUAGAGAAGCUUCAUUUUCUGAAUUAGUUCUUGACCCUGGAACAAGUGUCAUCGAUACAUGUCGCAAAGCAAAUGCCAUUCCAGAUGGUCCCCGAGGGUAAGAUUCAACUUUGAUCCUUAGUCCACAAUGAAACACAAGCCCUUUACCAUAGCAGCAUAGAGGCACUGGAGGUCAUGUCUGACCAAGAAUUAAAAGAACUGUUUAGAGAAGCUUCAUUUUCUGAAUUAGUUCUUGACCCUGGAACAAGUGUCAUCGAUACAUGUCGCAAAGCAAAUGCCAUUCCAGAUGGUCCCCGAGGGUAUCGGAUGAUAACAGAGGGCGGAGUCAGCAUAAAUCACAGACAGCACACAUGAAAUUCUGUAUUCAGAGUUAAUACAGACACUGAUGGGAAACACAGAAAAGCACUGGAGAGGCUGGAGCUCAGACCUUUACAGAGGAAAUGUCCCAGAGUACCAUUUCCAGCUCUGCAAUCUUAAUCUCUACCAAAAGAAGACACUGGGAAGCUAAUCUUAAAGGUAUAAAACUACUUAUAGCAAAAAUGAGUCUACUUCUUUGUGAUUUCACCAUAUACUGAAGACCAGCUGAGACCGCCAACCUCAUGGACUGAACAACUACUGGAUUCUUGGAACUUUCUGUUUAUAGGCAGCCACUGUUGGAUUAGCUGGACCACAGCUUAUAAGUCCUUCUGAUAAGUCCCUUUUAUAUAUCCUUUAUAUAAAAUCUAGUCAUUUUUUAAGUUCUAUAGUGUGACUUUUAAAAAUAUUUUUAUUUUAUGUGUAUGGGUGUUUUGCCUGCAUGUAUAUCUGUGUACCACAUGCAUGCUGGUGCCUAUGGAGGCCAGGUGUCAGAUCCCCUGGAACUGGAGUUGAGCUGCCAUGUGAGUGCUG